rnacentral:rRNA from 1 species
AUGCAGCGACGCCGCGUGAGGGAUGACGGCCUUCGGGUUGUAAACCUCUUUCAGCAGGGAAGAAGCGAAAGUGACGGUACCUGCAGAAGAAGCGCCGGCUAACUACGUGCCAGCAGCCGCGGUAAUACGUAGGGCGCAAGCGUUGUCCGGAAUUAUUGGGCGUAAAGAGCUCGUAGGCGGCUUGUCACGUCGGAUGUGAAAGCCCGGGGCUUAACCCCGGGUCUGCAUUCGAUACGGGCAAGCUAGAGUUCGGUAGGGGAGAUCGGAAUUCCUGGUGUAGCGGUGAAAUGCGCAGAUAUCAGGAGGAACACCGGUGGCGAAGGCGGAUCUCUGGGCCGAUACUGACGCUGAGGAGCGAAAGCGUGGGGAGCGAACAGGAUUAGAUACCCUGGUAGUCCACGCCGUAAACGGUGGGCACUAGGUGUGGGCAACAUUCCACGUUGUCCGUGCCGCAGCUAACGCAUUAAGUGCCCCGCCUGGGGAGUACGGCCGCAAGGCUAAAACUCA